UGCCAUAAAAGGUUGGUAGCUAUGUCCAACCUUUGCUAAGCAAAAACAAAGGCUUCGUUUCUUCCACGCGUUUCCGGUCUUUUGUUUUUCAUUUUUUCUUCUCUAUUUCUUUUUUGUGUUUUAUCUCUAUACCACAACAAUAUACAUGAUAUCAUUGAUUAAUGAAUAAUUUUAAAUAAGAAAUCAUAAUGAUACGAAUAUAUAUAUAUAUAUAUAUAUAGCAAAAUUAUCAGCUUUAAUGAUACAAAUAUAAUAUAUGAUACUAAUUUAGUAUCAGUUAAGCAAAAAUUAUCAGUCUUAAUGAAUGAGGGUAUGUGCUAGGGAUGACAAAUGGGUGGAUUGGAUCGGAUUUGGAUGGAUUGAAUAUGGAUUGAGUUAAAAUAGAUUGAAUCACAAUCCACCCAUAUAAAAUAUCGGUAAAUAUGGAUUUGGUCAAAUACGAUUUGGAUAAAAUGAUUGUAACCCACUUUAAUCUCCUAAAGCCAAAACAUAUUAAAUCAACGCUAAAUUUUUAAUACGUCAACCCCUACCACCCCACCCCACCUCCUAUAUUAUAAAUAAUUUUUCAUAUAAAAAAAUUAUUUUUUACCCNNNNNNNNNNNNNNNNNNNNNNNNNNNNNNNNNNNNNNNNNNCCAAUUUUUAAUUUUUAUUUUCAAAAACAAAUAGGACAUAUAAUUAGGGAUUUUUAUUAUAAGUAAGUGAAUUAUGGAUUCUCAUGUUUACCCAUUUUGUUUAUAUUUGUAUGAGCUUAAAUAGGUUGAAGUCCAUAUUUACCCAUUUAAGAAAAUAUGAGUGAUCCAUUUAAUUUAAUUUGGGAAAAAUGAAUUCAUUUCACUUAUAUAGGCUGAAAUUGUCACCCCUAGUAUGAGCUGUAAUUAUUUUUGAGAGAAUGAGUAUUUCUUGAAUUACUUUGGAUUGAGAUAUGAACAUGUAAUUAUUUUGAGUUUUAUGACCCAUUUAUGUAAUUUUUCCUUUUUUGUGUUUUUUCUUUAUUAAACUUUUUAUAUUUUAUUUGGACCAAAAGUAUGAGAUACACCUGCAACACGUGUUCGAGAACUAGUUCACAAAAAUACAUGAUUUUAUAUAACUUUUUUUCCUUGAGUACUAACUACGAACACUUACAUUUUCAAUAUUAAUUCGGUCAUUGAUUAAUUUUUUAAAGUAAAAUGUACAUAAUCAGAAAGUAGAUAAUUGAAAAGUUUACAUUUCAGCUUUGAUUAUUGCCAAAAAUAUUUCGAAUUUUUUUUUGAUAAAUAUUGUUUGACAAUAUAACUUGUCAUUAUUAGUAUAAAUAUGGAGUAAAUAUCUUAAAAGGUACUCAACUUUGAGAAAUUAUAUUACAACGUCAUUUAACUUUAUUUUAUAUCAAUAAAAUCACUUUAACUUAAGACUUGUUUCUUAUAAAAUCACUCACCCAAAUUUAUCAUUAAAAAAAAUCUCACAUAACAAAAUAAAUUAUUUUUUAAUCUCAUAUAUACAUGAAUCUCACUUUGACAAAUCAUCCCAUCUAAAAUAAGAUUUCAACUAAAAUAAAAUUGAAGAAUUUAUUUUUUCCUUCAAAUAGUGAUGAAGAUUUGCAAACUGGAGCAAAGGUCAUGAGAUGUUGAAGCCUUGAUGUAAAAUUACCUUUUUUUUAUAAAAAAAAAAGUAUUAGGUUUACGCUCAAGUUACUGAACUUCAUUUCUUAUCAUUUUAGUAAUAAUUAAUUUAUAAACUUUUAAUUUUAAUCUAUUAUAAAAUUGUCAGAAUUUUAGUAAAUAUAUACAUAUAAAUAAUAAUAAUAAUAAUAAUAAUUAUUAUUAUUAUAAAAUUUUAAUUUUUAAUCUAUUAUAAAAUUGUCAGAAUUUUAGUAAAUAUAUACACAUAAAUAAUAAUAAUAAUAAUAAUAAUAAUAAUAAUAAUAAUAAUAUAAUGAGCUCAAAGGUAAUGAUAUAAUUUUGUGGAUGUUAUGUUUACCUUGAGCUCACUAUUUUCAUUAGUCAAGUAGUAAAUAAUAAUUGUCUAAAGUCCUACUGGUCAAUCAAGAAAAGUUAACUUAUCAUAUUCAAAUGAGAAAAUAUAAUAUGAAUAGUUGAAAAUAAUUCUGAAAAGUUUUUUUUAUAUUAAUUUAAGACUUUUUUAUAUAAAAAAUAAAAUAAAUUUAAAAUAUAUAUAAAAAGAGUAAUUCAUUUGUCAAGUCAUGAUUUUUUGAUUGAAAAUUUGGAUGAGUGAUUUCAUAAGUGAAAUGUCCUAGGUUGAGUGAUUUUAUUGAUACAAAACAAAGAUUAAUGAUUUUUCUACAUAAUUACUCAAAGUUGAGUGACCUUUAGAGAUAUUUACUCCAGAAAUAUGUGAUCCACGAACACAUAUUAAUAAAGUUGUUUUCACUUGUUGUUCACUUAGGUAGAUAUGAUUUGUUGCUCAUAAAUGAAAUGGAAGAAAUAAUUGAAUUGCAUCCAAAGGUGCAGCAACAUAUAUAUGGACCUAAUUUAAAACACGUACACUUGUACAAAUCUUCCUUCAGAGGUAAGACAUCCUAUUCAACCGAUAAAAAAUGAGGGUGUAUUGGACAUGGAGGAAUGUUUUUCUUUAUUUUCUAAUGUUUAGUUGGUUAAUAUUUUUAAAUAUUCUUUUAAGAAAAUGAGUUUCUUAAAAAUGAGAAAAUUGACUCCCCAAUUUAAGUAUGAAAGAUAAAUUAAAUAUAUGACACUUGUUAAGUUUGUGAAUUCUGAGAGUAAAAUCCUAUCAAGAACAAUCGAAAAAGUAUGAAGAGGAUCUAGAAUGAAAUAUCUGCAUUGUUUUUUGAUCAUUGAAGAGAGGCACAAUAUAUAUACAAUGACUUUCAUGCUUAGCAUCUAACCAACUUAGCUAACAACUCUACAAAUAAUUGUAAUUGAAUAUGUAACUAACUCUGUGGUGCAUAACAUUAGUACAUCUACAACUAACAUGAUCAAGGCACAUUUAAACACUUAUUUAAUUCCUUUACACCCUUUUUGCCAGUUGGGAGCUAUGAAGAUGUUCUUCAUUCCCAUCUUGAACAUAAGGUGUGACUAUGAGGACCCUUCCCAACUGCCUUGUUAGAGACAUCAACAUGCUGUUCUGCAGAGGAUAAGUGGUUUGUGACAAGCAAAUCAUCUUGUAUCUUCUCUUUUAUAAAAUGACAAUUAAUGUUUAUAUGCUUUGUCCUCUCAUGAAAAAUAGGAUUGGCAGCAAUUUGGAGGGCUGAAGUAUUGUCUGAGUAUAGAGGUACUGGAAGUGAAAUAAUGACACCAAGUUCCUGAAAUAAACCAAGAAGCCAUACCACUUCAGCAAUUGUUGAAGCCAUGGAUCUAUACUCAGCCUCUGCUGAACUCCUAGACACUACGAGUUGUUUCUUACACUUCCAAGAGAAAGGUAAGUUUUCAUAUUGAACCAAGUACCCAGUAAUGGACCUCCUACUAUUGAUGCAUGAACUUCAGUCUACAUCACAGAAUACCUUUAGACAUUAGAAUUUCUAAACCUGGUGCUGACUUAGGUAUCUCACUAGUCUAAGUACAUCAUCCAUAUAUGAAGAUUUUGGAGAAUGCAUGAACUGACUCAAGCAUUAUACUGAAAAUGAUAUGUCUAGUCUAGUAGUGGUGAGAUACAACAACCUCCCAAUUAACCUCUGGUAGCUAGUAGGAUCCUGCAAUAGUGGAUCAACAUAUGCAAGUGGUAUGUUGGUAACAAACUCAACUGAUGUAAGCUUCUGAUUUAGUUCCAUUGGAGUUAAGACUGGUUUGGCUCCUGCUAACCCCUUGUUUGCUAUAACCUUCAAAGUGUACUUUCUCUGAUGCAUAAGCAUGCCAGCCUCAUUUCUAGCAAAUUCCAAACCAAGAAAAUAUCUAAUUUCACCUAGGUCUUUGAUUUUAAAAGGCAUAAUACAAUAAAUAUAUCAUUUAACUUAACCUCAUUUUACAUUUAUUCCCUCCAACUUCGAGUGUGCAUAAAUAGGCACUUAAACUUGUAUAACAUUGAACAAAUAGAAACACGAGCCCUAUGUGUCACAAUACACGUAGGACACCACACAGGACACAAAUUUCCAUGUAGGACGUUUGUGUCUAUUUGUUCAAUUUUAUACAAGUUUAAGUAUCUACUUGUGCACACCCAAAGUUGGAGGGCAUAAAUGUGAAAUGAGGCCAAGUUAAAUGGCAUAUUUAUGUAUUAUGCCAUUUUAAAAACAUGCUACAAUGCCUCUUUAGUCUCUUGAAUCAUAGUAGCACCGUUCCCUGUUAAUGGGAAAUCAUAUACAUAAAAAAAAAAAGUCAUCCAUAUAUAUGAGUACUAUCAUCAGUUUGCCAUCUUUCUUCUUAGUGAACAAAGAAUAAUCUUUGAAACUAUGAGUAAAACGUGAUAUUUUCAAGGUGGUAGUAAGUUUGAUGUUUUACUAUCUUGAGGCCUAUUUUAAACCAUACAAAGAAUUUUGACAAUAUACAUGAUUUAUUACUUCCAGCUUUCCUAUCAAAACAAUCUGGGAGAGUCAUAUAUACUUCUUCAUACAAGUCACCUUGUAAGGAAGAAUUAUAGACAUUCAUUUGAUGAAUAGUCCAAUGCCUAGCAGCUGCAAUAGAGAUAACAGAACUCACUACGGUCAUUUUAACCACAAGGCAGAAGGUGUUUUGAUAAUCAAAACCCUUCUUCUGAUUGAAACCUUUAGCUACCAACCUUUCCAAAUCACCAUUUGCAUGAUAUUUGAUCUUGUAAACCCAUCUACAGCCUAUAAAUUUCUUGCCUUUGGAAAAAUCCACCAAUUCACAUGUCUUGUUAUCCUCUAAUGCCUUAAUUUCAUUCUGCAUUGCCUCUACCCAUCUAGCACCUUGGAAGCUUAUGUAUAUGUACCAGGUUCUAUCUCAAACUGAGAAUUUUGAAACAAAACCUUGAUAUUUUUGGGAGAGUCCCGUAUAAUCUAGAACUGACGCUAUUGAGUAAAUACAACUACUUGGACUAGCCUUUGUGACAUAGUCCUUGUGCCAAAUGGGAGGUCUAGAUCCUCUAGUAGACCUUCUCACUGGUGGUGAAUGAGUGGCAGCGGGAGGAACUAACACUACCUCAGGAGGUAUAGGAAUUGUAAUAGGUGAAGUAAUUGGAGAUGUUGUGACUGAAACUUGAGCAGGAACUGAAACAGGAUCUAGAGUACCUAAAGUAGGAACCACUGGGAUAUUAUCAAGAUCAUCAAAAACAAAUAGAUUUUUUUGAGUGGAGACUUGAGUCUGUUGAGUUAUAUUGCUUCCAAAAGGAAAAGUUAACUCCAAAAACAACACAUCUCUACUGACAAAAAAGGUUCUAUUCUCCAAAUCAUAUAGCUGGUAUCCCUUUUGAGUUGAUCCAUAUCCAACUUAAACAACCCUCACUGCCCUUGGUCUGAAUUUAUCUUGUUUGAUGAGGUUGGCGGCAAAGCAUAAACAACAUAUGACUCUGAUGUGAUCAAGGGAAGGAGAUUUUUCAUAUAAUUUCUCAAAGGGUGAUACAUCACCCAAAAUAGUGGAAGGAAUUCUAUUUAAUACAUACACAUCUACCUGAAUACAUAACCCCCAAAACUUAUUUGAAAAACUAGCCUGGAACUUAAUAGCUUUGGGUCUCAAGUAUGUAUAUAUGUGCCUUCUUUCCACUACACCAUUCUGUUGAGGUGUAUAUGGACAAGAACUCUCAUGUAUGACACCAUCAAGUUUAAAAAAUUCAUUAUAGUUGGCAUUAAAAAACUCAGAUCUGUUAUCAAACCUCACCCUUUGAAUCUUUUUACCAAACUGGGUCUCUAUUUCAGCAAAGAAAUAUUUUAAUAAGCUAGUAACAUCAGAUUUAAGUCUCAUAGAAAAAGUCCAUGUCCAUCUAGAAUAGUCAUCAAUAAUUGUCAAAAAUUAUCUCAUGCCAGCAACCUUAUGAGGACCUCAAACAUUCAUGUGAAUCAGUUGAAAACUACAAGUAAACUUAAUAGUACUACGUAUAAAAGGUACUCUGGUCUGUUUGACCAGAGGACAAACUUCACAACUAUGUAAAGUAAACGUAUUACCAAAACUAUGAAAAGCAUUAUUUUUUCUUAUUACACUCAUAGGGACAUGGCAUAGUCUUUGAUGCCAGACAGUAACAUCAAAACUUGGUGUUGCUGCCAAACAUCUCUAUGGUGUUGCUUGCACAUCACCUAUCUGAGAACACAAUGUGUAUAGACCAUCAUUUUCUUCACUAGUCACUCUCACCUUCCCAGAUUAGGUAUUGAAAAGC
rnacentral:lncRNA from 1 species